GUGCUCCCUUGGGCAGCAUCUAUACUAAAAUUGGAACAACCUGGAGAAGAUUAGCACGGUGUCUGUGCAAGGAUGAUGCACAGAAUCGUGAAGCAGCCCACGUUUUU
rnacentral:snRNA from 1 species